rnacentral:rRNA from 1 species
GACGAACGCUGGCGGCGUGCUUAACACAUGCAAGUCGAACGGAAAGGCCCUGCUUUUGUGGGGUGCUCGAGUGGCGAACGGGUGAGUAACACGUGAGUAACCUGCCCUUGACUUUGGGAUAACUUCAGGAAACUGGGGCUAAUACCGGAUAGGAGCUCCUGCUGCAUGGUGGGGGUUGGAAAGUUUCGGCGGUUGGGGAUGGACUCGCGGCUUAUCAGCUUGUUGGUGGGGUAGUGGCUUACCAAGGCUUUGACGGGUAGCCGGCCUGAGAGGGUGACCGGCCACAUUGGGACUGAGAUACGGCCCAGACUCCUACGGGAGGCAGCAGUGGGGAAUAUUGCACAAUGGGCGGAAGCCUGAUGCAGCAACGCCGCGUGCGGGAUGACGGCCUUCGUGUUGUAAACCGCUUUCGCCUGUGACGAAGCGUGAGUGACGGUAAUGGGUAAAGAAGCACCGGCUAACUACGUG